rnacentral:rRNA from 1 species
GAGUUUGAUCCUGGCUCAGAAUCAACGCUGGCGGCGUGCCUCAGACAUGCAAGUCGAACGAUUAAAGCCCUCUUCGGAGGGUGCAUAAAGUGGCGCACGGGUGAGUAACACGUAAGUAAUCUACCUUCGAGUGGGGAAUAACGUUCGGAAACGAACGCUAAUACCGCAUAAUGCAGCGGCAUCUAUGAUGACAGUUGUUAAAGAUUUAUCGCUUGAAGAGGAGCUUGCGGCAGAUUAGCUAGUUGGUAAGGUAACGGCUUACCAAGGCGACGAUCUGUAUCCGGUCUAAGAGGACGGUCGGACACACUGACACUGAAUAACGGGUCAGACUCCUACGGGAGGCAGCAGUCGGGAAUUUUGGGCAAUGGGCGAAAGCCUGACCCAGCAACGCCGCGUGAAGGAUGAAGUUUUUCGGAAUGUAAACUUCGUAAGAAUAGGAAGAAUAAAUGACGGUACUAUUUGUAAGGUCCGGCUAACUACGUGCCAGCAGCCGCGGUAAUACGUAGGGACCAAGCGUUGUUCGGAUUUACUGGGCGUAAAGGGCGCGUAGGCGGCAAUUCAAGUCAGCUGUGAAAUCUCCGGGCUUAACUCGGAACGGUCAGCUGAUACUGCUUUGCUAGAGUGCAGAAGGGGCAAUCGGAAUUCUUGGUGUAGCGGUGAAAUGCGUAGAUAUCAAGAGGAACACCUGAGGUGAAGACGGGUUGCUGGGCUGACACUGACGCUGAGGCGCGAAAGCUAGGGUAGCAAACGGGAUUAGAUACCCCGGUAGUCCUAGCCCUAAACGAUGAAUACUUGGUGUCUGGAGUUUUUAUCCUCCGGGUGCCGUCGCUAACGUUUUAAGUAUUCCGCCUGGGGAGUACGCACGCAAGUGUGAAACUCAAAGGAAUUGACGGGGACCCGCACAAGCGGUGGAGCAUGUGGUUUAAUUCGACGCAACGCGAAGAACCUUACCUGGGCUAGAAUGUGAGGGAAGGUCGUCUAAUAGCGACCGUCCGGGCAACCGGACCCAAAACAAGGUGCUGCAUGGCUGUCGUCAGCUCGUGUCGUGAGAUGUUGGGUUAAGUCCCGCAACGAGCGCAACCC